GGCCCGUUAGCUCUGUUGGUUAGAGCGUCGUGCUAAUAACGCGAAGGUCGCGGGUUCGAUCCCCUCACCGGGCCA
rnacentral:tRNA from 1 species